GACGAACGCUGGUGGCGUGCUUACACAUGCAAGUCGAACGGAAAGGCCCUGCUUUUGUGGGGUGCUCGAGUGGCGAACGGGUGAGUAACACGUGAGUAACCUGCCCUUGACUUUGGGAUAACUUCAGGAAACUGGGGCUAAUACCGGAUAGGAGCUCCUGCUGCAUGGUGGGGGUUGGAAAGUUUCGGCGGUUGGGGAUGGACUCGCGGCUUAUCAGCUUGUUGGUGGGGUAGUGGCUUACCAAGGCUUUGACGGGUAGCCGGCCUGAGAGGGUGACCGGCCACAUUGGGACUGAGAUACGGCCCAGACUCCUACGGGAGGCAGCAGUGGGGAAUAUUGCACAAUGGGCGGAAGCCUGAUGCAGCAACGCCGCGUGCGGGAUGACGGCCUUCGGGUUGUAAACCGCUUUCGCCUGUGACGAAGCGUGAGUGACGGUAAUGGGUAAAGAAGCACCGGCUAACUACGUGCCAGCAGCCGCGGUGAUACGUAGGGUGCGAGCGUUGUCCGGAUUUAUUGGGCGUAAAGGGCUCGUAGGUGGUUGAUCGCGUCGGAAGUGUAAUCUUGGGGCUUAACCCUGAGCGUGCUUUCGAUACGGGUUGACUUGAGGAAGGUAGGGGAGAAUGGAAUUCCUGGUGGAGCGGUGGAAUGCGCAGAUAUCAGGAGGAACACCAGUGGCGAAGGCGGUUCUCUGGGCCUUUCCUGACGCUGAGGAGCGAAAGCGUGGGGAGCGAACAGGCUUAGAUACCCUGGUAGUCCACGCUGUAAACGGUGGGUACUAGGUGUGGGGUCCAUUCCACGGGUUCCGUGCCGUAGCUAACGCUUUAAGUACCCCGCCUGGGGAGUACGGCCGCAAGGCUAAAACUCAAAGGAAUUGACGGGGCCCCGCACAAGCGGCGGAGCAUGCGGAUUAAUUCGAUGCAACGCGUAGAACCUUACCUGGGUUUGACAUGGAUCGGGAGUGCUCAGAGAUGGGUGUGCCUCUUUUGGGGUCGGUUCACAGGUGGUGCAUGGCUGUCGUCAGCUCGUGUCGUGAGAUGUUGGGUUAAGUCCCGCAACGAGCGCAACCCUUGUUCACUGUUGCCAGCACGUUAUGGUGGGGACUCAGUGGAGACCGCCGGGGUCAACUCGGAGGAAGGUGGGGAUGACGUCAAGUCAUCAUGCCCCUUAUGUCCAGGGCUUCACGCAUGCUACAAUGGCUGGUACAGAGAGUGGCGAGCCUGUGAGGGUGAGCGAAUCUCGGAAAGCCGGUCUCAGUUCGGAUUGGGGUCUGCAACUCGACCUCAUGAAGUCGGAGUCGCUAGUAAUCGCAGAUCAGCAACGCUGCGGUGAAUACGUUCCCGGGGGCU
rnacentral:rRNA from 1 species